rnacentral:rRNA from 1 species
UACGAAGGGGGCUAGCGUUGCUCGGAAUUACUGGGCGUAAAGCGCACGUAGGCGGUUUUCUAAGUCGGGGGUGAAAUCCUGGAGCUCAACUCCAGAACUGCCUUCGAUACUGGAGAGCUCGAGUCCGGGGAGAGGUGAGUGGAACUGCGAGUGUAGAGGUGAAAUUCGUAGAUAUUCGCAAGAACACCAGUGGCGAAGGCGGCUCACUGGCCCGGUACUGACGCUGAGGUGCGAAAGCGUGGGGAGCAAACAGGG